CCCAAUUUCUGACAGCAACUACCUGUUGUGGACCAACAGAAGAAGUUUAGUGAAGAGACAGUGCAUUGCAGGGCGUUUCUUGAUUUCCAACAGCUACCUCUGUCCCGACAACAAGUUGUCUUUGAUAUGGAUUUGUUGGGCUAUGGAUUAAGGACUUUGAUUUGAGGCAGUGUCUCGACGAGGGAUCUAUUUCGGAUUGG